rnacentral:rRNA from 1 species
CUUGUGAACUGCAGGACACAUGAACAUCGACAUUUCGAACGCACAUUGCGGUCCACGGAUACAAUUCCCGGACCACGCCUGGCUGAGGGUCGUU